rnacentral:tRNA from 1 species
UGAAAAAGUUAUAGGGGCUAUGAGACUGGCUUGAAACCAGUUUUAGGGGGUUCGACUCCCUCCUUUUUCAACU